GUGAGGAAUUUUCCGCAAUGGGCGAAAGCCUGACGGAGCAACGCCGCGUGAAGGAUGAAGGCCUAUGGGUUGUAAACUUCUUUUCUCAGAAAAGAAUUAUGACGGUAUCUGAGGAAUAAGCAUCGGCUAACUCUGUGUCAGCAGCCGCGGUAAGACAGAGGAUGCAAGCGUUAUCCGGAAUGAUUGGGCGUAAAGCGUCUGUAGGUUGUUUAAAAAGUAUUCUGUCAAAGAUUAGGGCUUAACCCUAGAUAGGCAGAAUAAACUUUUAAGCUAGAGUUUGGUAGAGGCAGAGGGAAUUCCCGGUGGAGCGGUGAAAUGCGUAGAUAUCGGGAGGAACACCAAAGGCGAAGGCACUCUGCUGGGCCAAUACUAACACUGAGAGACGAAAGCGAGGGGAGCAAAUGGGAUUAGAUACCCCAGUAGUCC
rnacentral:rRNA from 1 species